rnacentral:rRNA from 1 species
CGGGUGAGUAACGCGUGAGGAACCUGCCUCAAAGAGGGGGACAACAGUUGGAAACGACUGCUAAUACCGCAUAAGCCCACGGCUCGGCAUCGAGCAGAGGGAAAAGGAGUGAUCCGCUUUGAGAUGGCCUCGCGUCCGAUUAGCUAGUCGGUGAGGUAACGGCCCACCAAGGCAACGAUCGGUAGCCGGACUGAGAGGUUGAACGGCCACAUUGGGACUGAGACACGGCCCAG